UACAGAGGUCUCAAGCGUUGUUCGGAUUCAUUGGGCGUAAAGGGUGCGUAGGUGGCGGGGUAAGUCAGGUGUGAAAUCUCGAGGCUCAACCUCGAAACUGCACUUGAUACUGCCUUGCUCGAGUACUGGAGAGGAGAUUGGAAUUUACGGUGUAGCAGUGAAAUGCGUAGAUAUCGUAAGGAAGACCAGUGGCGAAGGCGAAUCUCUGGACAGUUACUGACACUGAGGCACGGAGGCCAGGGGAGCAAACGGGAUUAGAAACCCCUCGU
rnacentral:rRNA from 1 species